AAAAAACUAAUUACUUUCAAUCCUUAUGCAAUUGAUUCCCUCUUUAAAGUAAAAUUUUGAUAUUCCACUCCUUAUCUUCUUAAUCUUCAAUUAAUGUUGACGUGUAAAUAUAAUAUAAAAAAAAACAUUUUUGUUAUUAUAUUUUUAUAAUUUGCUUUGGAGGGCAUGUGAUUAUGAACGUCACCUAUGAUAUAAGAACAUGUACGAUCAAUGUUAUUAUAAUAAUAUACAAGUAUAUUUCAUCAAACAUAGGAUUUUGUUGAAUCAUUUUGCUUAAUUGUCACAUUUGAGAUUAGGGUUUAUGUUAGUAGCAAUUGUUUAUUCUUUAAAAAAAAAAAAACCCCUUUUCUCUUUUGCUAUUAUAAUCAUUAGAUAUUUACAUAUACUUGGGAUUAACAAGCCAGAGAUGAUAAUUAAAUUUAAUUAUGAUAUAGUAAAUAUAUAUUUGUUAUAAUGAUUGAUUAAUAACAAGUGGGGGAGAAGCAGAGCUAAUUUAUUAGUAAAAAAAAGUGGAAAAUAGUUUGCCAGAAAUCAAGUAGGAUUCUCACAUUAUUGAUUUUUGAGUCACACAAGUGAUCUUAUUAAUUGUUGUAUGUGUUCAACACAAGUGAUUAUAUUUUAUAUAUACAUAUAAUAUAUGCUAGCAAAGGCAUGUGAUUACCAGUUUAUUGGCUGAUCAACCCUAAGCCAAGUUGGUUUAGAAUGUUGGGUGUACUUGCUAGCUAGCUAAUUAAUCAAAUUAGUACAAUAUUUAUUUAUUCAUUACCUCAAGAAGAUUAAUAUUUUCGGGAAUUGCAACUGUUUUUAUUGGUAAUGUCGAUCAUGAGUUUUUCUUAGUAAUAUAAUGCAUCUUAUCACUACAUCCAAUACUUAUUAAGUUUAUAGAACUAAAUUAAAAUUCUGACUUUCUCCCGCUCCAAUCUUUUCUCGAGUUCGAUUUUAUUUAAGUUCAACCCUAGAACGUAAUACUAAUUACCUUUGGUGAGAUUGUAGAGUCAUAAUCUUGAUCAAAGAUUUGCUUCAUCAGCAUCCUUCAUAAACGACCUUAAUUAUUUAUAUAAAUGUCUCUUCCAAAUUCAUAAGAGAUGACAAAUAAUCAAUGCCUUAUAAUUUAAGCCAAAAGAUAUAUAAUUAAGGAGCCCCAAAAUUUAAAUUUAUUGUACCAAACGUAUCACCCUAUUGGACAGUGGCUUGUCAGAAUCUUAUAAUAUAAUUCAUUUGCUUAUGUAUUUUGCAGAUUCGAGCCAUCAGGAAUCUGAGCAUGUUUGAUGGUGAAUCUUGUCUUUUUUAUUAUAUGAAAAUUUUAUUUGCAUUUCAUGGACUACAUUUCGAGGCUCCCAACAGUUUUCAGUACUAUUUUACUUUCCACAUUUUGAUGCUUCGCAAUUCUAAAGAGGUAACUGCAUCUGCAAAUCAUAUAUUGGGUUUGAAAUGGUAAAACUACCAUGUAACCCCUUGUAUCAAGAGUUAGGUUACAUGUUGUCCUACUAUUGAAAAAAUGAGAAAUUAGUCCCUGUACAUUAUAUUAAAGAGCAAAUUGGUUCUUUCUGUUGAAAAUUUCACCCAUUUAUAUUGUUAAAAAAUUGGCGUGAUUGAUGGAAUAAUCAGACAGAGACGUGUCACCUGUCAUGUGUACCUCAUGUUGACGUACAGGGAUAAAUUUUUAAUAAAAGGACCAGCUUUUUGGUCUACGUACGAGGACUAAUUUGCUAUUUUUUUAGUGGAGGGGGCAAAAUGCAAUCCAACUCCUAGUAUAGGGGUUCCAUGUUACUUUUACUUUUUUUAAAUUGAUAAAUACAAUUUAACUAGGGUUAAUAUAUUAUUUGGUACUUGAUUUUGGAUUUGAUUUUCAACUUGGUACUUGAGCUAUAUUUUUGUCACAAUUAACCACCUAUGUACUUUUUACCAGAACACAUUGAAUUUUUAUUUUUAUUUUUGGCUCAGUUGAUGUGAAUAAAUUAAUAAUAGGAAGCCGUUGGUAAAUACCAGCCACUUUCCUAGACAAAAAUUACAAAACAUCCAUCACACAUGCAAACUACUAAUAGAUAAAAAGAAAAUAGAUCACCACCAAGCUUUAAAUAAUGCUGAUCUUCUCACCCCUGCUACAGCCAAAGCUGUAGCCAUGCCAUGACCUUGCCUAUAAACUAAUGCAAAGUGAACACUAACCAGAUAGUCAAUACAACGAUCAAUACCUACGAAAAGAUUCCACAUUGAACACUGAAGCUGAACUAAGGUACCAAGUUGAACUUAGAUAUAAAAUGAUAUAUUAACUCUUCCAACUAGGAGCAUGCUUGAAGUUAUUGUUUAUGUUAUAACAAUUGUGAAUAGAGUAAUCAUUUGAUACAUCAUCUAUGGAGUUUUUUAGACUCCACAAAAAGAUUAAAAGUAUGAUAUAUAAGUGCUACUUUUAUUUAUAUUUAUAUUUUUUACUACAUCCUAUAAUACAUUUGUUACACUUUAGACAUUUUUUGCAUUGAAAAUAUAGAUUCCAUCUAUUUUUAUACAGGCAAAAAAUUACAUUCCUAUGGACAAAGAGAAAAAAAUCUACCAACACAUGGACCCAACCUUAAUUCUCGUAAGUAUAUAUCUGUUCAUUCACUCUCUAUACAGAUGAUAAUUACCAAACAUCUACUCUCUAUUUAUUUAAGAGUUUGAUUAGAUUGGUGUUAUUGAUAAAUCGGAUUUUAAAUUAGUUAAAAAAUUAUAAAAAAAAUGUUUUACCUAUUAUUAUAUUUUUAUAUAAAAUCUAGAAAAAUACAUAUGCUAUAGUUUUUAAUAACUCAAUUUUAUUAUACCAAAACUUCAUUAUUUGUUUUUUCUAAUCGAAUUUUCUGUAAAUAUAUUUGUUACAUAAACUAUUUUUCCCUUACGUAAUGAGUGUGUUAUAAUCUAAAUUAAAUAAUUGACAUCUUGUAACCAUUGGAUCCAUAAAACAUUAGAUUAUAAGCAGGCAGGAGUAUGAUUUAUGGAUCAGCGCAUGUGCAAAUAAUAAGUCAAAAUUAUGGUGGGUUUUCUGAGGGACAAAGUCAAAAGAAUAUUGAAUUAUAAAAUAUAAUUUUGUUAUUGUAUUAAUUAAUAAUUUUAAAAUUAUAAAGAAACAACCUCAUUAAUGAAAUAAAAGAUGGUCAAUGCAUCAAAUAUUAAGGUUUUUAAAAAUAUGCUCUAAAAGCAAUUUGUCAAUGAAAUCCUUAAUUUCCGUCAUACUGUCCAAAGAAAUUAAGGAAUAAUGGCAUAUAAUCUUUAUUCUUUAAGUUCCAAAAUCGACUGAGAGAUUUUCUAAUUCCAAGGUUUUAGAUCUCAUGGUCCCAACUUCCCAACUUUAGGACAUGUUAUUAACUGGAUUAAAAUAUAUAUUAUGGUUAUUUUUUAAAGAAUAAAUAUAUAAAUUUUAAUUUUAUGUAAUUUUAUACGUGUCAUUUUGAUUUGAUUCGGUUUUCAUGAACUAUAAUUUUCAUUAUUGAUAUAACUGCAUUUUAUGUUUAUAUAUUUAAAUAAUUAUUCUUAUACAAUAUAAAAAAAUAAAUUGAGGUGUUUAUUUCUUUAAAUGUGUACAGUUAAAGAAAAAUUAAAAUUAAUACGUACAAUUACACGAAACAGAAGUUCAUAUAUAAUUUUGAUAUUUAUCCAUUUUCUAAAGUGUAUAUAUGUGUGUUUUUUAUAUUCUUCAUGUCCGUUUUAUGGUGGAGUUCGUGGCUGUCCCUCCCAACAAUGUCAUCUUCAAGGUUUAAACAUGCGUAUUUCUCUUGGGAGUGUAAUGUGCCUUACCAUUACACCCAAUCACUUGUUGAUUUAAAGUGUAUAUAUAUAUCAUGAUUAUUCGAAGUGUAUCAAGAGUCCUUAUACUAUAAUAAUUUAUUCAUGACCCGAUUCGACUCAUAAAAGAAACAACCUAAUCAUCCCCCAAAAAAACCAUGUAUUUUUUUCAAUCAUACGCUAGUUCAAAAAUACAUGAAUUUUCUUAGGGAUGGUUGGAUUUUUUUUUUAUGGAUUAAGUCAUGGGUAAAGUAGUUGGGAAAGAUAUAUAUUUUGUCUAAAUUAUCAGCAACUUAACGCCAUAUUAUAAUAGUGUCAAAUUUUAAUAUAUAAAAAUUAACGUAGAGCCAUUUUUAGUAGAGAGACUAAAAUAAAGUUUUAUGUAAUAAUUUAUUUUGAUAUUUUUGAUAUUACAUUUAAUACAUAUUGUGAUUUUAAAUACUCACAGUAUAUACUUAGAAUAAUUCAUUAAGAUUUAAGGAAAACAGUACUCGUGAAUAGCUUAGGAUCGCACACGCAUUUAAAAAUUUGGUUUACUAGAAUCAAUAAAAUCUGGUCCAAUAAACAUCAUUUAUUUAUAAUUAAUUAUCUUAAAUUUUGCUAAUAAGUUUUGUAUUAAAAUUAGGGUUCUAACGUGUAUUCCAACGUUAUUAUUAUUAUUAAAUUCAAAAGAUAAACAAUACAUAAAUUUUCCUUUUCUACAAAAGCCAC
rnacentral:lncRNA from 1 species